rnacentral:lncRNA from 1 species
AUCUUCUCCUUGAGGUUCCUGAAUUGGAAGGUUGGGUUUCAAUAUUGACAAAUAUCUUAUUUAUGCAAUUGGUUAUUUAAGAGAUCAAAUUGGCAUCAACCAUUUCGUCUUAAAUUUGGCAUUUUAAAGGUACCUGCACAAAGGAACUCGGCACGAAUUUGAAUCAGUGCAGAGACGGGAAUGUAACUCCAGUAGCUGCCACAUUCUUUUGCAAUGAAUACAGCCGCCAGGAACUCUCAACUUGCAACUAGCAAAAUGGCGAACAAGCAAUUCUAACCCUUUGCAACAGUCUCCAUAAUCGCAGGGUGUUUGGUGUUCUUUCAAAUCCUUAUCAUGUGGUCCAAUUGUCCUGCAACCAUCUCUGAAUAUGUGAACAAGAGCCUCCAUUGCUUCACAUAAUUGAAGGUAGAUCCUCUGCUCAUUUGAUUUCCUGUUUUUCUCCUUUUGCAUCUGCAAAAUUUGCAUUUAGAGAUUUAGGUCAAAGUGCUAGAACCCAAGGUUACAAGGGGCAGUAGCCUUACCAUGAUAUCCCUCUCAUGUUCUUCAUCCAUCAUGGAUUCAAGAAGUUCUUUUUCAAGUGCUGGAUUGCUCUUCUUCAUUGCUUUCCACCCUUCAGUUUCGCGAACUGCCUUGCAGGUCAUUACGAUCAUACGGUGAGUGAUCAGCGUUAGUCGAGGCGCAUCACACAGUAACGAAAGCUGGAAGGCAUCAACUACAUUUUCUAUAGUAAGCAAGCCAUGCUCAAGUUGCUGUUCACAAGCUCGC